CUCAAACCGAAGUCCAGAGGACGGGCAUGCGCGGGAGAGGAGGACAACUGCCCCGCCCGGCCCCACUUUGGCCCCGGGACACGCGGAUCUGGAGGUCAGGGGCAGCAAGGCCAUGGCCAGCCCAGUUGGCUGUGUCAUGGCAGCACUGGCAAACCACAUACCGAAGACCACACCGCCCUCUGCGACCUUGGCCUUGAGCAGCUGGUGACCUGGUUCACCACACUUGGGGCCUGGAUGUCCCAGCGCCAGCUCAUUGGCCAGGUUCACCCGAGCUGGGGCAAGCAUGUGGGGGACACUGUGCUCUGGUUUGGACCCAGAAGGUGAUGGAUCACGGGGCGCUGUGCUCAUGGACGAGUUCCUGGCCGAAUGUGCUGUAGGAGACAGUGCCUCACUAGGUAGAUCUGGCUGACCUCCAACUCUCAGGGAUCCUCCUGCAUCAGCUUCCUGAGUGCUAGAUCACAGGCAUGCACCGUCACGCUGGCUUCCUCUAACCCUCAUCGUACGCUCUCCCCGCAUGCUUUCUUCUCCAAGG
rnacentral:lncRNA from 1 species